GACGAACGCUGGCGGCGUGCUUAACACAUGCAAGUCGAACGGAAAGGCCCUGCUUUUGUGGGGUGCUCGAGUGGCGAGCGGGUGAGUAACACGUGAGUAACCUGCCCUUGACUUUGGGAUAACUUCAAGAAACUGGGGCUAAUACCGGAUAGGAGCUCCUGCUGCAUGGUGGGGGUUGGAAAGUUUCGGCGGUUGGGGAUGGACUCGCGGCUUAUCAGCUUGUUGGUGGGGUAGUGGCUUACCAAGGCUUUGACGGGUAGCCGGCCUGAGAGGGUGACCGGCCACAUUGGGACUGAGAUACGGCCCAGACUCCUACGGGAGGCAGCAGUGGGGAAUAUUGCACAAUGGGCGGAAGCCUGAUGCAGCAACGCCGCGUGCGGGAUGACGGCCUUCGGGUUGUAAACCGCUUUCGCCUGUGACGAAGCGUGAGUGACGGUAAUGGGUAAAGAAGCACCGGCUAACUACGUG
rnacentral:rRNA from 1 species